rnacentral:rRNA from 2 species
CAGUCGAGCGGUAGAGAGAAGCUUGCUUCUCUUGAGAGCGGCGGACGGGUGAGUAAUGCCUAGGAAUCUGCCUGGUAGUGGGGGAUAACGUUCGGAAACGGACGCUAAUACCGCAUACGUCCUACGGGAGAAAGCAGGGGACCUUCGGGCCUUGCGCUAUCAGAUGAGCCUAGGUCGGAUUAGCUAGUUGGUGAGGUAAUGGCUCACCAAGGCGACGAUCCGUAACUGGUCUGAGAGGAUGAUCAGUCACACUGGAACUGAGACACGGUCCAGACUCCUACGGGAGGCAGCAGUGGGGAAUAUUGGACAAUGGGCGAAAGCCUGAUCCAGCCAUGCCGCGUGUGUGAAGAAGGUCUUCGGAUUGUAAAGCACUUUAAGUUGGGAGGAAGGGUUGUAGAUUAAUACUCUGCAAUUUUGACGUUACCGACAGAAUAAGCACCGGCUAACUCUGUGCCAGCAGCCGCGGUAAUACAGAGGGUGCAAGCGUUAAUCGGAAUUACUGGGCGUAAAGCGCGCGUAGGUGGUUUGUUAAGUUGGAUGUGAAAUCCCCGGGCUCAACCUGGGAACUGCAUUCAAAACUGACUGACUAGAGUAUGGUAGAGGGUGGUGGAAUUUCCUGUGUAGCGGUGAAAUGCGUAGAUAUAGGAAGGAACACCAGUGGCGAAGGCGACCACCUGGACUAAUACUGACACUGAGGUGCGAAAGCGUGGGGGAGCAAACAGGAUUAGAUACCCUGGUAGUCCACGCCGUAAACGAUGUCAACUAGCCGUUGGAAGCCUUGAGCUUUUAGUGGCGCAGCUAACGCAUUAAGUUGACCGCCUGGGGAGUACGGCCGCAAGGUUAAAACUCAAAUGAAUUGACGGGGGCCCGCACAAGCGGUGGAGCAUGUGGUUUAAUUCGAAGCAACGCGAAGAACCUUACCAGGCCUUGACAUCCAAUGAACUUUCUAGAGAUAGAUUGGUGCCUUCGGGAACAUUGAGACAGGUGCUGCAUGGCUGUCGUCAGCUCGUGUCGUGAGAUGUUGGGUUAAGUCCCGUAACGAGCGCAACCCUUGUCCUUAGUUACCAGCACGUUAUGGUGGGCACUCUAAGGAGACUGCCGGUGACAAACCGGAGGAAGGUGGGGAUGACGUCAAGUCAUCAUGGCCCUUACGGCCUGGGCUACACACGUGCUACAAUGGUCGGUACAGAGGGUUGCCAAGCCGCGAGGUGGAGCUAAUCCCAUAAAACCGAUCGUAGUCCGGAUCGCAGUCUGCAACUCGACUGCGUGAAGUCGGAAUCGCUAGUAAUCGCGAAUCAGAAUGUCGCGGUGAAUACGUUCCCGGGCCUUGUACACACCGCCCGUCACACCAUGGGAGUGGGUUGCACCA